rnacentral:rRNA from 1 species
CVRCDUUGCACCGGAUCCCAUCAGAACUCCGCAGUUAAGCGUGCUUGGGCGAGAGUAGUACUAGGAUGGGUGACCUCCUGGGAAGUCCUCGUGUUG